UACGGAGGCUGCAAGCGUUAUUUGGAGUCGUUGGGUUUAAAGGGUCCGUAGGCGGGUUUAUAAGUCAGUGGUGAAAGUCUGCAGCUUAACUGUAGAACUGCCAUUGAUACUGUAGACCUUGAAUUAUUAUGAAGUGGUUAGAAUAUGUAGUGUAGCGGUGAAAUGCAUAGAUAUUACAUAGAAUACCGAUUGCGAAGGCAGAUCACUAAUAAUAUAUUGACGCUGAAGGACGAAAGCGUAGGUAGCGAACAGG
rnacentral:misc_RNA from 1 species